GCUGCAACCACUUGCCCAAGGGGCAGCCUUGGCCUCUGGCUGCAGCUUAUCCUGCCCCUUGGGCGCGGUGGGCAUGAGAUGUCUGGCGCUCAAAUGCAAAUCCAGACCUAGCUUAUUAGAAACAACCCUCGCAACACUUCGCACGCCAAUCACUGCUUCACACCGGAGCCAAGCGGCCUUGAACAUGCGUCCCUGACAGAUGCCCAUGUAGACUGGCAGGCGACUCGCUUCAAGAACCAGGAGGGGAACAGGCAGGGAGGCAGGGGAGAAAUGAGAAGGGAAUCGGCGGCUCCAGGGAAAAAGACGCUAUGGCCCCCAAGGCACACCCCGCGCCACCAGGUGCCCUUCCUAUACCACGCAAGAGGAGUGACCAUACAGCCACUGACUGAAGGGUCUCUAAACUCCACGCGUUCCGUCAUUCUUGGGGUUUCUUCGAUACAUUCAUCUUCUACUCUUGCUGAAGAGAGAAGAGGGAAUUGGAACACAAGGAAUGAGCAGCUGUGGUCCGGUGUCUGCCCGCCUCACAGCUGAACUCUCAGUUUGCUCAGGAGUUCACCCACUGAGGUGGGAGUGGCGGCGGGCAUAGUCUGCAUGUUUGCAUGGGGCAGGCGGCGACUGUCAUUUCCGCCACAGCUGGGCCUGGGCAGAGACUAGAGAUCCGUACGCAGCCGGGGUAUUACAGAUCACCCGAGAUGAGGAACAACGUUAGCUCCCUCACACAGCCCUCUACAGUAGACCAGUACUGGCGCCUGGGUGAGUUCGCACUACUGCUCCAGCGGCUGGCGCGCCCGGGUCGGGUGGCUGGAGCUCCCCUCCACGCCUCGCGGCGGGCCCAGAAAGCACUCUUGGCGCCGGGAAGAGGACGGUGCUGGCUGAAAGAUCUCAGUCCGCAGCUUAUGCCUUAGACCUGCAGGCCAACAAGUCUCCGCUGUGAGCCUGAACAAAUUGCUGCGCGAUACUUAAAGCUGCGGCAUCCAUGCUCCACCCGAGCCCAGAACUUUGGCAGAAAUCGGAGAAGCUCAGGCGAGCUGCAAACUCAGACUGGUCCUCAUGCGCAACAUGUGCCUUUAUUCACUUGGCCAAGUCUUGUAUUUCAAGAUUCGUCAAUUUCUGAUCAAGGAUGUGGUACACUUCUGUCUGUUGCUGUAAUAAUCAUGCUUAUCUUGGUCAGAGCACAUUGUCAUACUGUACUUAAAUUAUCUGCUUAUACAUAUAGAUGUGAGUCUUUCUCCCACACACUUCAUUCUAAGAUUCUCUAUACUGUAACAUAUAUCCUGAGUAGAGUACACCAUAAUUUAUUUCUCAUCGCUCUUCAUUGGGUAGUUGCAAUGUGCCAGGCACUAAUGCUAAGGGCUUGAGAUAGAGGGAUAAGGAAAAUCAGUCACAGCCUCUGCCCUCCUGAAGCUACCUUAAGAGAGAAGGAAGCAAUCAACUAACACGAACUUACAAUGAUAAACCUUGCUGAAAGGAAGUACAGGAAACUUACACAUUCAUAGGCUCCUUGAAUGCAGACAGAAGGAGCCAAUGUAAUUGUAGCUGCAUGGCAUAAAUUUAGGAAAAAAUAUUGGUCAAUAAUCAAAGAGGGAAAAAAGCACCUACAUGUGCUGGGGAUGUAGCUCAGUGGUAGAGCGCAUGCUUUGCAUGUAUGAAGCCCCAGGUCCAGCCCCAGUAUCUCCAGUUUAGCUAAAUUUUGGACUAGGAAUCCCAACUUAUCGGGAGCCGGUCCAAACCACCAGCCUGAUGACACAGUCUGGGCAGUUGGAUGGAAGGGACUGCACAGCGGCCUUCCCAGAGGAGCAACCCCGAUAUCUCUCCUGCUCAAAAUGCCCCUCCUAAUAAAUUUGCUUAUUUCGGUUUCAAUUCAAGCUACCCCUUCAGGGAAGAGGCCAUAUCCAAUUGUCCCUGAAAAUUUUUGAGUACUGGCCCUUAAGGAAAUUGGAAAAAACCACUACUGCCCUUGUGACUACCGCCGGUGAUGGGAAAGUGAGACCCCAUGAGAAUUGGACCCAAGCUUAUGGGAAAAAAAGAUACGGAAAAUUUACAUGGGUCGAGGUUCCCUCCUCCGCCCCUAUGUGCAUUCAAUGACUAAUGGUGACAGGUGGAUACAUAGAACAAAUGAUAUUCUUUGGCUAGCCCACCAAAGAACAACCUGGCAAACUAUAAAACAAAUGAGAACAGGGCGUUACCUAACUCCAUAUCAGAAAAAUCUCCAUUGUAAGUCUUACUGCAAAUGGGUUCAAGGCACAGUCCAUAAAAUUUCUCCCUGCCUGCGAAAAAGUCAUCAUGUCCUUUUAGAGAAAGCCUCUUUCUUUCCUACCAGAGAUGAAGAAUGGGUGUAUAGCUAUGAAAGAAUGAAGGCCCUACAUAAAAACAAUAGAAUACUGAACAUUAGAUAGUCAUCUGUAAAGAAACCAAGAGUCUGGCACCUACCUAACCUUUGUUAAGAUUUUCUGGCGGUAAUAACUAAGAACAAAGCUUACUUAGAAACAAGUUAACUGCUAAGACCUGUCAAAUGAUUUAAUUUCAUUCUCCAAACUCGUAACGGUGCCAUGUGUCAAUUAAAUGAUUAAUAACUGUACUUUACUUUAUGUAAUCAAAGAGUAUAUAAUCAAGCUGCUACUUUUCAUUAAAGGCUAGGCUCAGCUUUUGCUAGUGUCUGUGUCCUCAUUCAUUUUCGCCGAUGCUGUUCCUCUUUCAGGGAUUCCUGGACUCGCCAGAGCUGUACUCAGGCACCAACUCAGUUUUCUUUCCUUAAUCCUUGGCAAGCUUUUCUGCAGAUCACACUUGUUCUGGCAUACAAGCUGUUGACCUAAGGAAUGCUGCAAUGAACAAAUUGAAGACUGAUGCCACACUGACCAUACAACCUCAUGAUUAUUUUUGUGUUCUGUGACAGGGUAACCACUGCACAUUUACAAGUAAUUUAAAUGCAUGAUAACUCUGUAUCACCUUUCAAAGUCUUAGUUUGAAAAAGAAGUGCAGAUGCUUAAAUGAAGCCUCCUUGCUGCCAAUGCUGGGACUUCUUGCUUUGCAUGCUGUUCCAUCAACAAUUUGGUUGUGAGGGAGAAUAAUGCGCUGGUGUGUAUCCCACUCAGUGAUGUUAUCUUGCAAUAACACUAGGAUCUUUGCCACAGGGAAAUCCUUCACUCUAACAUUCCUUAUUUCUGGUUUUGCUUUGAAGCCAACUGUUUUUAAAUAAUAUAUACCAUAGAAUAUACAUAAGCUCAGGAUGGACUAUUGGUACAGGUUACAAUAGGCCUUUUUUAAUCAUGGGAACUGGUUCUGAAGAAAAAAUUGCUUCUCAUAUAAAAGCUACAUACAUAAACUUGCUCUUCAAAUUUGCUCCAUUGUGGCUGCCCUUUUAGUAGGCAAAGGAGUCAUUGCUAUGUUUCUAUGGUUGAUACUUUGGUUCUGUUCUUUCAUAAUAACUACUUACAUGACCCAAUAUUAAUAAGAAAUAACAACCCAAAACAUCUUUUUUCCCUAUUAAGCAUACAGAAAGUUAAUUGUCAUCAUCACCUCACCUUUAUCACCAUCAUUUCAUUGUCACAUGUUGGAACACAAGACUUUAACAAGAAUAAUCCAUUAAGUUAAAAAAAGUGAGAGAUAAUCUUGAAUACAUCAAAAUUAAGUAUUUCUUUAGUUUUAGAGAAACUAAAGAUUUCAAAUGUCUUAAAAAUAAAGGAUACCUUAGCAAAAAUUAACACAUUGAUGACUGUGAUCAUUAAUUUUUGUAUCAACUUGACUGGGCCAAAGGAUGCCCAGAUAUUUGAUUAAACAUUAUCUCUGGGUGUGUGUGUGUGUGUGUGAGGUUCCAGAAGAGAUUACCUUUUGAAUUGGUAAACUGAGUAAAUCAAAUAAUCCCAGUGUGGAUGGGUAUCAUCCAAUCUGGUAAUGGCCAGAAUUAUCAACAAGGCUGAAAGAAAGGUUGAGUUCACCAUCUGUCUGCCUGGCUGUUGCAGCUGGAACAUUGAUUUUUUCCCUUCAGGACUCUUGGUGCCAGGCAUUCAGACUCUGACUGGAAUCUACAUUGGCCCUUGUCUCUCAGGCAUUCAAACUACACCAUACGUAUGUGAUAGAUAUAACCUAUUU